rnacentral:rRNA from 1 species
GAUGAACGCUGGCGGCGUGCCUAAUACAUGCAAGUCGAGCGACCAGAUGAGGAGCUUGCUCCUCUGACGUUAGCGGCGGACGGGUGAGUAACACGUGGAUAACCUACCUAUAAGACUGGGAUAACUACGGGAAACCGGAGCUAAUACCGGAUAAUAUAUUGAACCGCAUGGUUCAAUAGUGAAAGACGGUUUUGCUGUCACUUAUAGAUGGAUCCGCGCCGCAUUAGCUAGUUGGUAAGGUAACGGCUUACCAAGGCAACGAUGCGUAGCCGACCUGAGAGGGUGAUCGGCCACACUGGAACUGAGACACGGUCCAGACUCCUACGGGAGGCAGCAGUAGGGAAUCUUCCGCAAUGGGCGAAAGCCUGACGGAGCAACGCCGCGUGAGUGAUGAAGGUCUUCGGAUCGUAAAACUCUGUUAUUAGGGAAGAACAAAUGUGUAAGUAACUAUGCACGUCUUGACGGUACCUAAUCAGAAAGCCACGGCUAACUACGUG